rnacentral:rRNA from 1 species
UAGGGAAUCUUCGGCAAUGGACGAAAGUCUGACCGAGCAAAGCCGCGUGAGUGAAGAAGGUUUUCGGAUCGUAAAACUCUGUUGUUAGAGAAGAACAAGGACGUUAGUAACUGAACGUCCCCUGACGGUAUCUAACCAGAAAGCCACGGCUAACUACGUGCCAGCAGCCGCGGUAAUACGUAGGUGGCAAGCGUUGUCCGGAUUUAUUGGGCGUAAAGCGAGCGCAGGCGGUUUCUUAAGUCUGAUGUGAAAGCCCCCGGCUCAACCGGGGAGGGUCAUUGGAAACUGGGAGACUUGAGUGCAGAAGAGGAGAGUGGAAUUCCAUGUGUAGCGGUGAAAUGCGUAGAUAUAUGGAGGAACACCAGUGGCGAAGGCGGCUCUCUGGUCUGUAACUGACGCUGAGGCUCGAAAGCGUGGGGAGCAAACAGG